GAGGUAGGAAAACCCGCUGAACUUAAGCAUAUCAAUAAGCGGAGGA
rnacentral:rRNA from 1 species